AUUGAACGCUGGCGGCAGGCCUAACACAUGCAAGUCGAGCGAGCGGCGGACGGGUGAGUAAUAUAUCGGAAAGUGCCCAGUAGCGGGGGAUAACUAUUCGAAAGACUGUCUAAUACCGCAUACGAUUUGAGCGGCCGAUAUCGGAUUAGCUAGUUGGUGGGGUAAAGGCUCACCAAGGCAACGAUCCGUAGCUGGUUUGAGAGGAGGACCAGCCACACGGGGACUAAGAACGGGCCCAGACUCCUACGGGAGGCAGCAGUGGGAAAUUUUGGACAAUGGUGGAAACCCUGUGCCAGCCAUCCCCGGUGUAUGAGAAGGCCUUGGGGUGGAAAAGUACUUUUGGCAGGGAAAGGGUAUCUGCAGAAUAAGCACCGGCUAACUACGUGCCAGCAGCCGCGUAAUAC
rnacentral:rRNA from 1 species